CACCUUCUCAUACCUGCACUGAACCAGCUUUGUCAUCCUGCCAGUAACCUCACUUAUGAGUUAAAUAAAAUCCUAACAUAUGCUCCCAUUACAUUAAACAUUCACACUUUCAGAAGUCAGUGGUAGACAAGAAGCCUUUUAUUUUAAUUCACUGACAGACAAAUCAGCAAGCAAUUGAUAUGGGGGCGAGAGAAGGGAGUUGAUAAUGGGCUGAACAUUAGCAUCCCCCCCAAAUUCAUAUGUUGAUGCCUUAACCCCCAAUGUGAUGGUAUUUGGAGGUGGAGUUGUUGGGAGAUAAACAGGUUUAGUUGAGAUCGUGGGGUGAGCCCAUGAGAGGACACAGUAAGGAGGCGGCAGCCUGUGAGCCAGGAUGGGGACCCUCACAAUGAAGCAAAGGUGCCAGCACCUUCAUCUUGGAAUUCCCAGAUUCUAGAACUGUACGAAAUAAAUGUCUGUUGUUUAAGCC
rnacentral:lncRNA from 10 species